rnacentral:rRNA from 1 species
CCUACGGGUGGCUGCAGUGGGGAAUAUUGCACAAUGGGCGAAAGCCUGAUGCAGCGACGCCGCGUGGAGGAAGAAGGUCUUCGGAUUGUAAACUCCUGUUGAGUGAGAAGAAAGACUUCUGGUUAAUACCCAGAGGGGAUGACGGUAUCACUCGAGGAAGCACCGGCAAACUUCGUGCCAGCAGCCGCGGUAAUACGAAGGGUGCAAGCGUUAUUCGGAGUUAUUGGGCGUAAAGGGCGCGUAGGCGGUCUGUUAAGUCAAGUGUUAAAGAACUC